UUGAAACACCAGUUCCUGUACAAUCACCGAAAUUAAGUAAUGAUGUGUCUUGUCAGUAGCUAGAUGGGUGACCACUUGGGAAUACCAGGUGCUGUAAG